GCAGCAGUAGGGAAUCUUCCACAAUGGACGAAAGUCUGAUGGAGCAACGCCGCGUGAGUGAUGAAGGUUUUCGGAUCGUAAAACUCUGUUGUAAGGGAAGAACAAGUACGUUAGGAAAUGAACGUACCUUGACGGUACCUUAUUAGAAAGCCACGGCUAACUACGUGCCAGCAGCCGCGGUAAUACGUAGGUGGCAAGCGUUGUCCGGAUUUAUUGGGCGUAAAGCGCGCGCAGGUGGUUUCUUAAGUCUGAUGUGAAAGCCCACGGCUCAACCGUGGAGGGUCAUUGGAAACUGGGGAACUUGAGUGCAGAAGAGGAUAGUGGAAUUCCAAGUGUAGCGGUGAAAUGCGUAGAGAUUUGGAGGAACACCAGUGGCGAAGGCGACUGUCUGGUCUGUAACUGACACUGAGGCGCGAAAGCGUGGGGAGCAAACAGGAUUAGAUACCCUGGUAGUCCACGCCGUAAACGAUGAGUGCUAAGUGUUAGGGGGUUUCCGCCCCUUAGUGCUGCAGCUAACGCAUUAAGCACUCCGCCUGGGGAGUACGACCGCAAGGUUGAAACUCAAAGGAAUUGACGGGGGCCCGCAC
rnacentral:rRNA from 1 species